ACUACGGUAUUUAAACUCUAUGGAAUUUAUUUACUAUGCAUCCAAACAGGGAGUUUUAUUAUUUGGUAAGUACACGUCAAAUACGCUAUAGUCUAAAAUGAGAUCACUUUUAAAUGAAUUAACCACAAGAAGACUGUGCAGGAACUUUAUGUUGGAAAAAUCUUUCUGAUCUUUUAUUGCAAUACUCUUUAAAAACAACUCGAAAAUUCAAUUUCAACUAUAGAAAAAUUCCGAAACAAAAUUAAACAAAAAUAUUGUAAAGAUAAGUUUUGGAUAAGGCCCGUGGAUCGAUCGAGGCGUACAGUACAUUGUCCGAAAUGAAAUUACACCUCCACGUGCGAGGCUUCCCGGUAAUUACUGCUAGUGAUACAACGACGACGUUCCACCCCGUCAGCAUGCUUUCAAGAUGGCGUAAGAUGAACCCAACCAGUUUUAGAUCCAGCAAAAAAAUACUCGGCGAAAACUCACAAGGCAGAAAAAGACGAGAGGCUUUAGGUAUGCUCGGGUUAUUAAUUAACUCGUGCAACCUCGCCCCAUAUUUAUAAUCAAGGCGAGAAUCUUGCUCCAAUGCGUCAAAUCCGAGUAGAACAAGAUAAGUUUAUGAUUAUAUGGAUAAGGAUUAGGAUAAAGAUAAGAAUUAAAAUAAAGAUAAAACCGAAAAAAUAAAAUAAAAUAAACCGAGUGUAUGAAUUACGCGCGUCGCCGGCCCGGCUCGACUCGUGCUGUGUGUGUAUUUAAACGAGAGCAUUACUCUCACUUUCUUUCAAGCAAUUAGCUUGAGAACAAGGGAAUAUAUAAAAACAAUAAACACCCUUUUGGUUUCUAAUGUGGGACUAAUCAUCACACAUGAAAAUUUUAGUUGGACUCCCCAAGCGGCCCAUUAAUAAUUAUGGUCUCUCGAGAAGCCUUAACAAGUUUUAAAUCAUAACAAACCCAAUA
rnacentral:lncRNA from 1 species